UCGAGAAUCUUUCGCAAUGGGGGAAACCCUGACGACGCGACGCCGCGUGGAGGAUGAAGGCCUUCGGGUUGUAAACUCCUGUCAGCAGGGGAGAACAAGCUUUUGGUGAAUAAUCAAGAGCUUUGACAGUACCUGCAGAGGAAGCCACGGCUAACUCUGUGCCAGCAGCCGCGGUAAUACAGCGGUGGCAAGCGUUGUUCGGAUUUAUUGGGCGUAAAGGGUCCGUAGGCGGCCUGAAAAGGUGGAGGUGAAAUCCCACAGCUUAACUGUGGAACUGCAUUCAAAACUGUCAGGCGCGAGUGUGAUAGGGGUAAAGGGAAUUCCCGGUGUAAGGGUGAA
rnacentral:rRNA from 1 species